UACGUAGGGCGCAAGCGUUGUCCGGAAUUAUUGGGCGUAAAGAGCUCGUAGGCGGCUUGUCACGUCGAUUGUGAAAGCCCCGAGGCUUAACCUCGGGUCUGCAGUCGAUACGGGCAGGCUAGAGUUCGGUAGGGGAGAUCGGAAUUCCUGGUGUAGCGGUGAAAUGCGCAGAUAUCAGGAGGAACACCGGUGGCGAAGGCGGAUCUCUGGGCCGAUACUGACGCUGAGGAGCGAAAGCGUGGGGAGCGAACAGG
rnacentral:rRNA from 1 species